UUUUGGUGCAAAGGGAAGAACUCCACUCAAGACAUGUUCAACCAUCGUCCAAGGUAAGUUUCAUGACUUUAUCAUAUUGUUUAAGGUAUUGGAAAGCUAAGAUGCUUGAAUUGUAGAAAGACAUAAAGAAUGGGUCAUAACUGUGUGAAUAGUGCUAUAAUUGAAUGAUAGUGGGGUUGAAUCAUGAAUGUUGAUGUGUUGGGAGUAUUAAGAUACUGUAAAUGGCGUGUAGACCAUGAGAUAGGUAUUAUAUAUGAGAAAACGCGAUAGCACGCUAUAACCACCAAUGUGGAGAAAAUGGAGAAAGAUAGUGGAUUUUACUCGAUGUAUAUAAAUGAUAAUUGUUGGUUUAUAUAUGGUAAGUGUCGUUGUGAAUGUUGGGAGUUAAUAUAGGACAUGGGAAAAGUAGUAGGAACAAAGGAAGUGCUGCUCAAUUUUCCUAGAAUUAACCAUGCGUUCUUGUAGUCGAUUAACUAACGUAAUGCGAAUUCUCUCUUGAAGGAAAAGACGGGAUAUUGAAGGAGGGCAAGCGAACGCUAGACCAAUUAAACGACAAAGGUAUGUAAGGCUUAUCUCUUCUUCCACAAGGCAUGAAUCCUCCAAGUUUUCCAUAGGUUUCCCAUAAGAUGAAACUUAUGAGCCCUUCUAUAUAUUGAAUCACAUAUGAAUGAGAUAACGAUGGUGAUAAGCCAGAGUAUAGUAAUCCGAGGAAUUGUGGCAUGAUGUCCCUAUUACGCUAAUGAUGUUAUCUUUGCUAACACUCGCCUUAUGCUCUAUUUUCUUCAAGGCGAGGCACGACACUCAUAAUUGUGCAUAAUACGAUCGGGGGUUUACGACCUUACGUCACCCCGACAUAGUGUGAUUGCCCCUAAAAGCCCAAAGUAUGCUCUCAAUGCUAAUGUAUGAUAUGUCUAAGAAGAUUAAUGACGCUAGCUUGUAAUACAACGAUGUUAUGUAUAAAAUGCCGAGAAAUGAUAAUAUGAUGCUAUGCUAUGAGAUGUGUAAUAGUAAUGUGUAAUGAUUGAUUUUGUAAGGAUAUGAUUCCACCGCGCCUAUAUGGCCGGGCAUGUCACCGCUAAGGCGGGCUGCAUAUGAUUCUACCGCGCCUAUAUGGCCGGGCAUGUCACCGCUAACGCGGGCUGCUAUGUUUACACCGAGCCUAGAGGGCCGGGCAUGAUCACCACUAGUGGGCGGCAUAUGAGGGUUACUCGGACGCGGGUAACGAUGCGAAUCAUGAUGUGACGACGUAGACAGGGAGGAGAUCUUGCUCCGGACUCCUAGACGUUGAUAGCUGACUGGAAGCACUCCUUUGUCCCGGAAGUGCUUAUGAUGAUUCUUUUGUGUACAAUUGUAGAUGUCAUCUCAUAGAGGCUCGUAGAUACUUGAUGUGGGUUAUGUGGUUUCACGAUGUAGUCAGUGUGUAAAUGUAUUGCUGUAUGGUAUUUUGCUAACUUAAGUGCUCAUGUGUAUAAAAAGCAUUAUGUUUCAAAACGAAAAUGG